CAGUAGCCGCGGGAAUACGAAGGGUGCAAGCGUUACUCGGAAUUACUGGGCGUAAAGCGUGCGUAGGUGGUGGUUUAAGUCCGUUGUGAAAGCCCUGGGCUCAACCUGGGAAUUGCAGUGGAUACUGGGUCACUAGAGUGUGGUAGAGGAUAGUGGAAUUUCCGGUGUAGCAGUGAAAUGCGUAGAGAUCGGAAGGAACAUCUGUGGCGAAGGCGACUAUCUGGACCAACACUGACACUGAGGCACGAAAGCGUGGGGAGCAAACAGGAUUAGAUACCCCCGUAGUCCCUGUCUCUUAUAC
rnacentral:rRNA from 1 species